AUGAUAGCAUACCAUGUAAACUGUUCUGCACCUUGCUUUUUAUAUAUUAAAAUUUAUUUUCUUCCAAAAUUUUGUCCUAAUGAAAUAUGCUGCUUCCUUUUUGAGUUAAUUUUGACCAUUUCUUCAGAAAACUACCUGUUUCCUCAAUAUUUUCCAGUAGUAUUCAGAGUUAGAACAACCAACAAAGUUCUUCAUACCCAUUGGUCUGUUAAUCCCACUUUCACCACUUACAAAGUUUCUAAGCUAUUUGGGGCAAGCCUGUGACUCCUGAUGUAGGGUAAAUGUUCACAGAGGGUAAUGAGUGUAGCGUAUUAAAGAGUAAUGAAUCAGUUUGGAAAUUUUGUGAGAUAUGGUUGCAAUUAAGAACAUAAAAUAAUUACUAUUUUAGGAGUGUAGCCCUAUGCCACCCCCUUUCUCUUCAACUUUCUUUCCUGAGUUUCUCUCUUCAUAGCAUAUUAUCUCACAUUCAACUUGUACCCUAUUAGUUAAAUGAGGAACACUGGCAUUUUUAGACUGAAAUAACCCCUAGGUAAGCCAAACACUGACUUUCUCAACAAUUGUUGUAUGGCCUGUCCUCCUCUUAAGCCAGCACCAAGGCCGUCUUGAAAUUAGUGGCAAAGAGGCCAAGAGAUAAGGUUAGGUGUUACAGUUGUGGUUUUCAGUUGGGGAGAGAUAACUAACUUUGGAGGUUGGCAAGGAAACAGAAAAGUUUAUUAAAGGCCUCAGGAAGCCAGAAGGGACUUGGUAACCUGAUAAGAGUGCUGAGGUCAGGACAGGGUAGGGGUGGCAUUGGGGUGAGAAUGGUACUGGCAGGGGUGGUGGAGGAUGUAUGGGAGGCUGAAGCUGAGCCUGAGGAAUUGUACAUAAUAUUCUCUUGUAACAUUUUUUUUUUAAGUUUCAUAUCUACUGGUGUCAUUUUUAAUAUUUUUCCCAUCAGUAUUGCACAAGUACUGAAAAUGUGCUUGGUCUGACAAGGUGAAUUAUAAGAAUAUUUAAACAAAACAGAACAACACACACACACCUCAUUAGUUUGGGAAUUUCAUCACACUACAGCCACAUUCUUUUACGUUUACUACUUGUGUGCUUUCCUAGAUUGCCCAACCAAAAAAAAUAAAGCUCCCUAUUUCACAUCAUCCCCUACCCUGUUUGUUAAAAGUGGAAAAUUAGUAUUUAUUUGCCCCAACUGGCACUCUAGCAUAUAUUGCUCACUUGCCUGAUCUCAUGUUAGCCUGGGGCGAGGUGAACUGGAGUCUGAAACACUGAGAAAGUCCCGAGAUGAGACAGAAAAAGAGAUAGGGACAUGCAGGAGUAUUCUUUUAAAAGUUACUUUAAUAUUCACCCUCUUUCAGCCUUGAACAUCUUCAGUACUUGCCCCAGAUCGCUUAGGCGCAACAGUAGAAGGAGCAGUUGGUAGGGAAGGGUUCAUCUUUUUAUUCAGCAGCUGGGAAACCGUCGCUCUGCCGCUGGGGGAGGAGCAGGGUUUUUCCCUAAGGUGCAGUUGUGGGGUGAGGUUGGGGGCGGCACACUGAGCCUCCGCCUGAGAGCCGGAAGCAGGCACUGGAGGGGGAGUGGCGCUGAGCCGGGGGAGGAGUGAGAGAAGGAAGCGGCAGUCCCUUGGCAUACGGAGCCAGCUGAAAAUCAGGGUUGAAUGUUAAAAAGGGAGCGUAUUUAGCGACACUCCUGGCCCCGAAGAAAGGAACUGAGGCGACACGAAUCCCCCUGUCCAACACCCAGAAGACGAGACACAAGUGCCAGGGCCGCCAGCAGCUGUUAGGCGCUUUUUGGUGACGCGGCCUCCGCGCGCAGACGCGCUGACGGGCCGCGGCCUCCACGUCGCAGGUUCCGCAAAGGCUUGUGGGAG
rnacentral:lncRNA from 1 species